rnacentral:lncRNA from 1 species
UUUAAUCCAUUGCGCGGGUACAGAGUUUUCACGAAACAAAACUAGAGUGAGUACAAUCUAUCGCACUCUUGUUGCAUAUAAGUCAACAUCUCCGUUCACUGCUUCUUCCUCUCGGAUCCGAUGCUCAUCUUCCUUCCAAAUCAUAUCCAAAAUGCAGAUAAUGGCAGUUUUGGUAUUUCCAUGAUUAAGUGGAAACUCUCUUCCCACACUCUAUCUUCCUC